rnacentral:rRNA from 1 species
CAGUAGCCGCGGUAAUACGAAGGGGGCUAGCGUUGUUCGGAAUUACUGGGCGUAAAGCGCACGUAGGCGGAUAUUUAAGUCAGGGGUGAAAUCCCAGAGCUCAACUCUGGAACUGCCUUUGAUACUGGGUAUCUUGAGUAUGGAAGAGGUGAGUGGAAUUCCGAGUGUAGAGGUGAAAUUCGUAGAUAUUCGGAGGAACACCAGUGGCGAAGGCGGCUCACUGGUCCAUUACUGACGCUGAGGUGCGAAAGCGUGGGGAGCAAACAGGAUUAGAUACCCCGGUAGUCCAUGUCUCUUAUAC